GGAUAAAUUUAUUUGGAUACGCGUUGUGCAUGCUGCUGACAGGGAGAAAUUUGAGAGAGACGGUAGACACAACAUAACGUCAUUCUAAGUUUACAAAAUGCAGGACAUCGAUCAGCAUUUCAACAAGGAAUUGUGUAUUAAAUGCAGUAAAGUGAAGAGAUGUCGCCUCAUCAUAAGGUAUGAAGGUCCGCCACUUAAUCAAUUUAAUAUAUAGAAAAAUAUAAUAAUAAUAAUUAAAUUAA